rnacentral:piRNA from 1 species
CUGGACUUGUCCGAAGGGAACUUGCUGU